rnacentral:rRNA from 1 species
GACAGAGGUCCCGAGCGUUAGGCGGAAUCACUGGGCUUAAAGCGUGUGUAGGCGGACUUGUAAGUACCUUGUGAAAUCCCACGGCUUAACCGUGGAACUGGUCGGUAUACUGCGAGUCUUGAGCCACUUAGGGGCUACCGGAACAAAUGGUGGAGCGGUGAAAUGCGUAGAUAUCAUUUGGAACGCCAAUGGUGAAAACAGGUAGCUGGGAGUGUGCUGACGCUGAGACACGAAAGCCAGGGGAGCAAACGGG